CCUACGGGUGGCUGCAGUAAGGAAUAUUGGGCAAUGGAGGCAACUCUGACCCAGCCAUGCCGCGUGAAGGAUGACGGCCCUAUGGGUUGUAAACUUCUUUUAUACGGGAAUAAACCCGGGUACGUGUACCCGGCUGAAUGUACCGUAAGAAUAAGGAUCGGCUAACUCCGUGCCAGCAGCCGCGGUAAUACGGAGGAUCCAGGCGUUAUCGGGAUUCAUUGGGGUUAAAGGGGGCGUGUAAGGCAGCGUAGAAAUCCUACAGCUUAACUGUAGAACUGCCGUUGAUACUGCAAGUCUUGAGUACAUUUGAUGUGGGCGGAAUGUGUCAUGUAGCGGUGAAAUGCUUAGAUAUGACACGGAACACCAAUUGCGAAGGCAGCUCACAAAACUGUAACUGACGCUGAGGCACGACAGCGUGGGGAUCAAACAGGAUUAGAUACCCGGGUAGUC
rnacentral:rRNA from 1 species